GAGAAAGUGACAUUUGUACCAGACCUUGGAGGAUGAGGUCAGUAGGCAGAGAGGGGCUGAUGGCUAUUCCUAACAAAGAAUGCAACUCCAUCAAAAAAUAUAUGGAAGUCUAAGAUCUGGUUGGGCAAGUAUGAGCAGUGGUGUGGAGCUCAGCACAGGAGACUGAGAGGGGCCAGAAAGCCAUUUUUGAAGCACCUUGAGAGCCAUUGAAACUCCUGAGGCAGCUGUGGCCUUGGGUGCCCUGCAUAAGUGAUCUUUGACAGCUGGUCAUUAAGCUCCUGUUCAUCCUGAAUGCCUCUGGGCAGAUUCCCUCCAUUCAGACCUCCCCCUGUCCAGGAGGCCUGCCUUGGUCACCCUCCUCCCUUCUCCCCACGUGAGGUUAAGUUGUCUUCUCUGAGACCUGUCAGGAAGAGGAAACACAUUAACCCCAGCAAGACAGCGUGGCGCUUUUCCAAAAUGCUUUGAUUCUUCUACACAAAUGGGAUUAGAACAAAUAAAUUUUGGGAAGCAAGCUUCUACCAUUAUGUAAAUUUAAUUUCUCUUAUUUUGUCCCUUAUGUUUUAGAUUGCUGUAUUUUAUAGGAGCUGAGUCUGAGACAUUUUAAAAACUCUUAGAGAACAGGCAUCCAUUCCAUCUGCUUUAUUGAGUCCAUACAGUGUGCCAAGCAGGGGACAGAAGACCAGUCAGAGUCUGAGGAGGAACCCAGGUAGCUAAGAGAAGAAAUAGAUGAGUCAUUUUUUAUCUAUGAUAAUUCUAAGAGGUGAAGGGGACAGAGGCCAGCAGAGAACACAGAUGCAGCCGUGGUAAAGACGUUCAUCUGGUCACCCGCACCACCAGGCCCCUCUCUGGCCCCAGCUUCCUGGGCACAGAAUGUUGGGUCCCUUCCCAAGAGCUCUGCGUGUCCUUCAUCACUGGCUGUUCAUUGGAUGCCAGCAUAGCUACAGGACAGCCAGUCUCUGUAAAGCCCAGAGUCCUGGGGAGGUGGACUGUGCAAUGGAGCCUAAGUGGUUCUUCAUGGGGCCGGUCGGAAAGACAGCACAUACAACCAGGGACAAAUUGGUCACUGUGCUCAGUGGAGCAGGCAGACAACAGCAGGUGAGCACAGGAGGCCCCACUGAACGUAGUAGGUCAGUUUGAGGGAAGGUAAAGGUCCGUG
rnacentral:lncRNA from 1 species